rnacentral:rRNA from 1 species
AUUGAACGCUGGCGGCAGGCCUAACACAUGCAAGUCGAACGGUAGCACAGAGAGCUUGCUCUUGGGUGACGAGUGGCGGACGGGUGAGUAAUGUCUGGGAAACUGCCCGAUGGAGGGGGAUAACUACUGGAAACGGUAGCUAAUACCGCAUAACGUCUUCGGACCAAAGUGGGGGACCUUCGGGCCUCACACCAUCGGAUGUGCCCAGAUGGGAUUAGCUAGUAGGUGGGGUAAUGGCUCACCUAGGCGACGAUCCCUAGCUGGUCUGAGAGGAUGACCAGCCACACUGGAACUGAGACACGGUCCAGACUCCUACGGGAGGCAGUAGUGGGGAAUAUUGCACAAUGGGCGCAAGCCUGAUGCAGCCAUGCCGCGUGUAUGAAGAAGGCCUUCGGGUUGUAAAGUACUUUCAGCGGGGAGGAAGGCGAUGGAGUUAAUAGCUUCAUCGAUUGACGUUACCCGCAGAAGAAGCACCGGCUAACUCGUGCCAGCCGCCGCCGUAA